rnacentral:misc_RNA from 1 species
AACACUGUUAACCUGCGGUACCUGCGGAGGGAUCAUUAAAGAUUGACCGAAAGGUCUUAUCUCUAUAUCCCUCACCUCUGUGAACUGUGGACCUCCGGGUCUAUUUAACAAACAUCAGUGUAAUGAACGUAUAUAUCAUUAAACAAAACAAAACUUUCAACAACGGAUCU